rnacentral:rRNA from 1 species
CGUGGUAUUCUAGAGCUAAUACAUGCUAAAAACCCCGACUUCGGAAGGGGUGUAUUUAUUAGAUAAAAAACCAAUGCCCUUCGGGGCUCUUUGGUGAUUCAUAAUAACUUAACGAAUCGCAUGGCCUUGUGCCGGCGAUGGUUCAUUCAAAUUUCUGCCCUAUCAACUUUCGAUGGUACUGUAUUGGAGUACCAUGGUUUCAACGGGUAACGGGGAAUUAGGGUUCUAUUCCGGAGAGGGAGCCUGAGAAACGGCUACCACAUCCAAGGAAGGCAGCAGGCGCGCAAAUUACCCAAUCCCGACACGGGGAGGUAGUGACAAUAAAUACUGAUACAGGGCUCUUUUGGGUCUUGUAAUUGGAAUGAGUACAAUUUAAAUCCCUUAACGAGGAACAAUUGGAGGGCAAGUCUGGUGCCAGCAGCCGCGGUAAUUCCAGCUCCAAUAGCGUAUAUUAAAGUUGUUGCAGUUAAAAAGCUCGUAGUUGAACCUUGGGCCUGGCUGGCCGGUCCGCCUCACCGCGUGCACUGGUCCGGCCGGGUCUUUCCUUCUGGGGAGCCGCAUGCCCUUCACUGGGUGUGUCGGGGAACCAGGACUUUUACUUUGAAAAAAUUAGAGUGUUCAAAGCAGGCCUAUGCUCGAAUACAUUAGCAUGGAAUAAUAGAAUAGGACGUGUGGUUCUAUUUUGUUGGUUUCUAGGACCGCCGUAAUGAUUAAUAGGGAUAGUCGGGGGCGUCAGUAUUCAAUUGUCAGAGGUGAAAUUCUUGGAUUUAUUGAAGACUAACUACUGCGAAAGCAUUCGCCAAGGAUGUUUUCAUUAAUCAGUGAACGAAAGUUAGGGGAUCGAAGACGAUUAUUUGGUCGUUAAUAGCGUAUGCUAGUCUAUUUAUAGGCAACACCGUCAAAUUGCGGGGACCUCCUAAAGGCCUUACCACUCCCUGAUUAUGGAAACGUCAUCAGCUUGUCAAAGUGUAAGGUAUGACCAAGGAUGCCUUGGGAAAUGGACAAUCCGCAGCCAAGCCCUACCGCUCGCUGGAGCCACGGGUGCAGUUCACAGACUAGACGUCGGUGGGUCCGUAAGGACUUAAGAUAUAGUCGG